UCCUUUGUGGGUAUCCUUUCAGUGUCAUGGUCAGUUAAGUAAUGGAAUUACUGAAAACGUGAUUAAAGCUGACUUAAACUGUGCAUGCAUGUAAUAUAUUUUAUAUAUAUUUUAUACAGGAUAUAUUUAUAUAUAUGUAUGCACAUGUCUCUGAAAUCAGGCCAGCACUGUCUCACUCAUCUCUGUCAUGAUUCUGCCCUCGUGUCCUUGAUUUUUCCUAGUCUUGAGGCAGGAUCAUGACAGACCCGUGUUUUGUGUACGAGCACAUGGCCUUGCCUUUGGGCCAUGUGCUUGUGUUGUCUCGUUCCCUUGCCCCGCCCCCCUUGUUAACCUAGUCGUGUCUUGAUUGUCCCAUCUGUGCCACCUGUCGUGUCUUGAUUGUUUCUCCUAGUGUGCUCUGUCUUGCGUCGGUUCAUUGAGAUUUGUUCCCUAAGAUUUGUGAUUGUGAUUCGUGAUUAUACCCCGGUAACCCCUUGAGAUACUGUGUCCUGUAUACCGUGAGUGUUUAUUUGUAGUCAGUGUUCUCUAGUUUUGAGUCUUUGUUUAUUUUGCCUAAUCAGUCCUGUUUGGUUAUUUUUGUAUCUGCCCUGGUCCUUGUUUUCCCCCGCGUGGGUUUUUGUUUUCCCCUUUUUGUAAAUAAACCUGUUUGUGUUGUAAAUCCUGUCUGCACCUGAGUUCCUCCUUGCCAAAACCCUGACAGAAUGAACCGACCACCAAGGAACUCAGCAGGCAGGAGGGCCUCUGAGCUUCAGCGUCAGGCGGAGUUCCGGAGGCUGUGCUGGACGUCAUCCCCCACCGACAGGAAGGGGGUCACCCUCCCAUACUCGCCUGAGGGGGAAUGGAUCCUCCGUAAUUAUGCCCGGCUGUGGGAAAGCAUCUCCCAGGAGGAGCCACAGAGGUCCCCUCCACCUACCCAGCUGCCAACGAUCCCUGAGGGUCGUGUCCUGGCCGUGGCAACCCUGGGGGAUCAGGCAAGCCCCUCCCAGAGUCCUGAGGUGCCCUCCACAGCCAGCAGUCUCCCCAUGAAACAAGGGAGACGGUUUUCAUGGGAGUCAACUUCUGAGUCUUCGGCGUCCGAGACUGCCCUGCCCGAGACCAAACUCCCCCAACCCGCCUCUGACCCAGCUGUGGCCUCUGCACCGCGCCCAAGGAGGAAGAGGAGGAAGAGGGGGCCUGCCGGUCCUGUGACCCUGUCUCCUCCCGUGCCAGCAGCGGAGAGCGCUGGCGUGCCCGUGCCAGCAGCGGAGAGCGCUGGCGUGCCCGUGCCAGCAGCGGAGAGCGCUGGCGUGCCCGUGCCAGCGGCGGAGAGCGCUGGCGUGCCCGUGCCAGCGAGUGCUGGCGUGCCCGUGCCAGCAGCGGUGAGCGUGCCCGUGCCAGCAGCGGAGAGCGCUGGCGUGCCCGUGCCAGCAGCGGAGAGCGCUGGCGUGCCCGUGCCAGCAGCGGUGGGCGUGCCCGUGCCAGCAGCGGAGAGCGCUGGCGUGCCCGAGCCAGCAGCAGUGAGCGUGCCCGAGUCAGCAGCGGUGAGCGCUGGCGUGCCCGAGCCGGCAAAGAAGAGGGCAGUAUGCAAGUCGGCAGUCGUGAGAGCGGAGGAGAGUGCCGCGGCCGACUCUGCAGCAAAGACUUUAGUACAGUGUGUCUCAUCUCACCCUGUCCCCAGAAAUCCCGAGUGUCCUGAUGUCGUCUCCCCGUGUCCCGUAGAUGUCGUCUCCCCGUGUCCCGUGAGUGUUGCCCCGUGUCCUGCUGAUGCAGUCAUGUGUCCUGUUGAUGUGGCCCCGUGUCCCGUAGAUGUCCCGUGUCCUGUUGUCCCCCCGUGUCCAGUAGAUGUUGCCCCGUGUCCAGUAGAUGUUGCCCCGUGUCCAGUAGAUGUUGCCCCGUGUCCCGUAGAUGUCCCGUGUCCAGUAGAUGUUGUCGUCCCGUAAGUCUUGCCCCGUGUCCCUUGUCUGCUCCUAUCAUGUCCCCUGUCAGUUGUCCCGAGACCCCUCCCCGCCCCUCACCACCCAGACCUGCCCGUACCCCCCGUCGUCAGCCUUCGUCCUGUCCUCCUAAAACUCCUGCCCCACCCACUCACCCUGGUCUGUCCCCCAUGAACUUUGUGGUCCCGCCUCCUCCCCUUCCCUGUUUGUUUUUUUUGAUUUGUCACCCUAACCCUGCCGUCGUGUAUUCAUGUCUGCCUUUGUUAUUAUUUGUCAUGUCUUGUUGGUUUGUGUCGGUGUCCCAGUCCGUCAUGUCAGUCAUGUCUCGUGUUUGAUGUUCCCUUGAGGAGCGUCUGGAAGCCGCUCCUUAAGGGAGGGGUUCUGUCAUGAUUCUGCCCUCGUGUCCUUGAUUUUUCCUAGUCUUGAGGCAGGAUCAUGACAGACCCGUGUUUUGUGUACAAGCACAUGGCCUUGCCUUUGGGCCAUGUGCUUGUGUUGUCUCGUUCCCUUGCCCCGCCCCCCUUGUUAACCUAGUCGUGUCUUGAUUGUCCCAUCUGUGCCACCUGUCGUGUCUUGAUUGUUUCUCCUAGUGUGCUCUGUCUUGCGUCGGUUCAUUGAGAUUUGUUCCCUAAGAUUUGUGAUUGUGAUUCGUGAUUAUACCCCGGUAACCCCUUGAGAUACUGUGUCCUGUAUACCGUGAGUGUUUAUUUGUAGUCAGUGUUCUCUAGUUUUGAGUCUUUGUUUAUCUUGCCUAAUCAGUCCUGUUUGGUUAUUUUUGUAUCUGCCCUGGUCCUUGUUUUCCCCCUCGUGGGUUUUUGUUUUCCCCUUUUUGUAAAUAAACCUGUUUGUGUUGUAAAUCCUGUCUGCACCUGAGUUCCUCCUUGCCAAAACCCUGACAAUCUCAACACACCCUAUUUAACUCGUCAGUUCAUGUUUAUUUGAACACUUCCGCCAGUGAACGGCUGCCUGCAAAAUACUAAAAUAAAUAUCAAAGAAAUAAUACAGUUAAACAAGAAAGUAACCUAAAUAAGAAAGUUAAAUACACCCUGUCUAAUGGUCGCGAGCAACGCAGUGCGACAAAAUACUCAUAAUCAGUGAUGCUACACUGGAUGCAGCACAACACAACAUGAUAAAUCCCCCGUCCGGUCUAUGAGGUACGGACAUGGAGUUCAGAUGUCCUGUGUAGACACUGGUCAGACUAAACCUGUUGCAACACGGCGGUGUUGCUUCCGGUUUACUUUUCCACCACCAAGCAGUAACUCCUCAUCUGCACGUUCUCUUUGAAAUAGGAAUAUUGCCAUAUAUUUUGUUAACAUAUUUUAUUUAUCACUGUCUCGUAUGUAUUUCACCAGUUUGGAGAAAACCUCACCAAACCUGACAGCGUUUGCGAUCAUGGGAACUUGUGCAAAUGCGUGUAAGGGAAACAGGUCAAUUUAGCUCAAAGGGAAUCAUUUAAGAUUUAAAAGGUUUUGCACGCGUAGUUAACAAACUACAGCUAGUCCAAAAUGCAGCAGCAAGAGUUCUUAUUAGAACCAGGAAGUAUGACCAUAUUAGCCUGGUCCUGUCAUCGCUGCACUGGCUCCCUAUCAAACAUUGUAUAGAUUUUAAAAUAUUGCUUAUUACUUAUAAAGCCCUGAAUGGUUUAGCACCUCAGUAUUUGAAUGAGCUCCUUUUACAUUAUACUCCUCUACGUCUGCUAUGUUCUCAAAACUCAGGCAAUUUGAUAAUACCUAGAAUAUCAAAAUCAACUGCGGGUGGCAGAUCCUUUUCCUAUUUGGCGCCUAAACUCUGGAAUAGCCUACCUAACAUUGUUCGGGAGGCAGACAAACUCUUGCAGUUUAAAUCUAGAUUAAAGAACCAUCUCUUUAACAUGGCAUACACAUAACAUACUAAUAUGCUUUUAAUAUCCAAAUCCGUUAAAGGAUAUUUAGGCUGCAUUAAUUAGGUAAAUCGGAACCGGAAACACUUCACAUAACACCCUAUGUACUUGCUACAUCAUUUGAAGAAUGGCAUCUGCGCUAAUAUUUGUCUGUUUCUCUCUUGUUCCGAGGUCACCGUUGGCCACCAGAUCCAGUCACCCGGAUCCAGUACGUAUCCAGACCAGAUGGUGGAUCAGCACCUAGAAAGAACCUCUAUUGCCCUGAAAGACAGCGGAGACCAGGACAACUAGAGCCCCAGAUACAGAUUCCCUGUAAAGACCUUGUCUCAGAGGACCACCAGGACAAGACCACAUGAAACAGAUGAUUCUUCUGCACAAUCUGACUUUGCUGCAGCCUGGAAUUGAACUACUGGUUUCGUCUGGUCAGAGGAGAACUGGCCCCCCAACUGAGCCUGGUUUCUCCCAAGGUUUUUUUUCUCCAUUCCGUCACCGAUGGAGUUUCGGUUCCUUGCCGCCGUCACCUCUGGCUUGCUUAGUUGGGGUCACUUCAUCUACAGUGAUAUCGUUGACUUGAUUGCAAAUAAAUGCACAUACACUAUUUAACUGAACAGAGAUGACAUCACUGCAUUCAAUGAUGAACUGCAUUUAACUAUCAUUUUGCAAUAUUGACACACUGUUUUCCAAAUUAAUGUUGUUUAGUUGCUUUGACGCAAUGUAUUUUGU
rnacentral:lncRNA from 1 species